ACUUGAGACUUUUAUAUUUACAUGAAAGAAAAAAAAAUGUGAUUGCCCCAUGUUACUUCCCAUUGCAGACUCUAACACACGUCUAUGCACUGGGUAAUGUGCCCUGAGAUAGUCUGUUCCAGAAGCCAAGAAUGGCUAUAGUGGUAUUAAGGCCUGGACAGUAAACCCAUUGAUGGGGUUACAUAUGAAUCUGGUGGACUGGUGGGGCAGGAAUGUGUGGUGUCAUGGCAGGUAUGACUAUAGUAGUCUGCUCUGUCUGCAGCUCAUUCAUGCCCCCUACAUCUAUGUCAGAUUACUGUCCAGUAUAACACUAACAGAAGAAAACUGCAGAACUGCUUGUACCCAACGGUAACCAUGAGAUGUGACUACUGGGUGCUUCCUGUCUGUGACUUUUGUUUUUCAAGAUUUUUUUAUAUUUACCCGUAUGCGUGUUCUGCCUGAAUGUAUAUCCAUGUUUCCUAUGUGUGUCUGGCGCCCACAAAGGUCAAGAGGGGGCAUCAGAUCCCUUGGAACUUGAAUUAUCGAGAAAUCAAACGCCUCUGUAAGAACGAGGGCUCUUUUUUUUGGGGGGGGGGGAGGUUCUCUGUGUAGCCCUGGCUAUCCUGGAACUCACUUUGUAGACCAGGCUGGCCUUGAACUCAGAAAUCCACCUGCCUCUGCCUCCCUAGUGCUGGGAUUAAAGGUGUGCGCCACCACGCCUGGCAAGAACGCCUGGCAAGAACGAGGGCUCUUAAUCAGCUCCUCACAUGUGACUUUUCAAGGAAGUACCUUCUUACAGGUCCUGAUAAACGUUCUCUUGCCUGGCCUUUCUGAAAGUCUGGUGGAGACUCUGGAUUGGGAGAUUUUUGGAAGGUGGCUACUACAGUGUAGUUGCUUUUCCUUCAUGUGACUGAUCAUCUCUUGAAUCUACUCUGCCAUGCAUGACUGCCAGACCUCAGAGGUGGGACCUGCAGUGCCUGGAAGUCAGUCUCUAAAUGGCUCUGACUUCCCCCUUCCUAUAAACACAUCUCACCCAUGUGCAUGCAUACACAGGAAUUAUCCUUCUUGUAGGUCAGAUGCCUGACAACCCCUCCAGCAUGGUUCUCAAAAGUAAAACAGGCUAUCCUGUCACCCAGAACUCUGGUAUAGCAAGUGAGGGAUACUGCUGGCUGAGGGUGACAGUGUUUCUCAGCAUUUGGGGUGUUUACAAGGUUCAGCUGAUGGUACCAGCAUCCAAAAAAAAGAAUGAACUGUUCCAGAGCCCCAGGGAUUGUUUUGUGAAUAAAACUGGCCAUACAGGAGCAUCUUCGGUCAUCGUGAGGUCCACUCUAUGGCUUCCUGUGGACUCAGACAUGGCUACUUGAACUUUUUCUCUACAGUGUACACAUUUGGCUUAGAAGGUGGAUGCAAAUGAUGUUCAGUACAGAAAUCUCUCUUCUUUUCAGGCAGGGUCUUACUGUGUAGCCCAGUCUGGCCCUAACUGCUACAGACAUCCAACACUACAAUCUGGGCUCCUCAAGUCUCACUUCUCACAGUUGCUCGUCAGUAACAGUGGAGUAAAAUCUAGUUAUUCAGUUUGAGCAGUCAAGAUGACUAUAAGCAAGUGAGUCAGUCAGCACAAGAAAGUGGCCCCCCUGCCAGACGUUGACUCUGUAAUGUUUCCAUAUCAAAUUUCCCAUCUUGAAGUGCAAGGAUGGUUUUGUCAGUUGGGUGUGGGGCAGCUCACAAGUAUCAACUAGAAGCCUAGAGAAUGUCUACCCCAGCUACUGCCAACAGCUUGUGAUGGUCACCUCCCAACCAUAUGUGAUCCUCUUUCAGGCAACUGUGGCUGUGCCCAUCCCUUCUGCUUUAGUGACUGGGAGCCUGGGGAGGAAUGCCCCCCCCAAACCCCUGACCUCAGCCUUCUCAACUCUGGCAGUGUAGCACCUCUCCACCUGCUGUGAGUCUCUGGCCUGAGAUGUAUACCCAACACCUUGUGUGGUAUGCUCCUGCUGACCUCAAGUGUCUUGCAGGUUCCUCCACCCAGCCUACUUAAGGUCACAUCCCUUCUCUACGUUUGUCCACCUGCUCCCAGAAACGCUGAAGGUUUCCUGCUGUGUGAUUCUGGAUCUUUCCUAGUUUCUGAAGAGCUGCACAUUAUAGUGAUUGUCAGUACCAUAUACUUAAGGGCAGUCCCUGGGUCACUAGGGAAGCAAGCCUUUCUCUGCCGUCAUCUUUGUGUCCUACAGGAUAGCUGAUGUGGAUGGAAGACUGACCUGGCUUUUAGGUCCAGAUUGUUUUUUUUCCAGAACUGGGGAUUGAGUUCAGAACCUUGCACACGUUGAACACACGCUUAACAACUGAGCUAUACCCUAGCUUCAGGUUCUAAUAUUUUAGUACAAGUGUGUAUGACCAUAAAUAAAGACCUGUUGUCUGCUGGGCAGUUGAAGGCUCAGAGGGCAUUCUCUGGAGGGUGGAAACUGUUGAGAUUCUAAGUGCAGUGUGAAGCCUUUAGUGGGUGUGUCCCAGUUGGCCUGCAGCUGUGUGGGGGAGGCAUUUGUUUAGAAUAAUUGGGAAUACAGGAGGAAUGAGGCAGGCAGUACCUCAAGGAGCCUCAGAAGCCUUCCAUGAAGUGUGGCUGAGAUCCAACUAGAGCCUAGUCUGUGGUCAGUGCUCAGAACACUUUUGCCCAGGAUUUCAACAUCAGUGACCACCUUCGCUGCCCUUUGCACCUGUGUUACAGUUCUCUUACCAACCCAGUUCUCCAAGAGAUCCAUUUUAAAAAAUUGACUGCCUUAAAGUUAUCUUUACAUAUUUACUAGACUAGAACACAACCCUGUGAGCACUCUGUCACUCCCCUCCACCCACCCACGGAGCGGGGGAGGGGGUAGAACCAACGGAGACUCAUACACACUGCUCACCUGCUCACUUUCCUGACAAGAAAGUUAUUUCUGGCGGGUCUCGGGCCACAAAACCCCCAGGGAUUUCUCUUCCCCAGCAGGAAGUCCCAGUGGUAAGCCUCUAGUUGCUCGAAGGUCCCUGGCCCUGCCUCCCGGGACAUCAGUGGGGCGGGGACUCAAUUCCGGGGGCAACACGUCCUGGGAGAGUUAGACGGAAGCACUGGGACUGACACGUGGACUUGGGCGGUGCUGCCCUGUGGGUUGUCCUAGGUCUGAGGUGGGAGGGCACGGUACACAGCGGUGCCCAUGCCAUCCCAGCGCUCUAGCCUGAUGCAGCCAAUCCCAGAGGAGACCCGCAAGACCCCUUCUGCGGCAGCAGAGGAUACACGGUGGUCCAGGCCUGAAUGCCAGGCCUGGACAGGAAUCCUGCUCCUGGGCACCUGCCUGCUGUACUGCGCCCGAGUCACCAUGCCCGUCUGUACUGUUGCCAUGAGCCAGGACUUUGGCUGGAACAAGAAGGAGGCUGGUAUCGUGCUCAGCAGCUUCUUCUGGGGCUACUGCCUGACUCAGGUGGUGGGCGGCCACCUUGGGGAUCGCAUCGGAGGAGAGAAGGUCAUCUUGCUGUCAGCCUCCGCCUGGGGCUUCAUUACUGUCACCACACCACUGCUUGCGCACCUCGGCAGCGGCCACCUGGCCUUCCUGACAUUCUCUCGAAUCCUCACCGGUCUGCUCCAAGGUGUCUACUUUCCAGCCCUGACCAGUCUGCUGUCCCAGAAAGUACAGGAGAGCGAGAGAGCCUUUACCUACAGCACUGUGGGUGCUGGCUCCCAGGUCGGGACCCUGGUGACUGGGGGCGUAGGCUCCGUGCUCCUGGACCAGUGUGGCUGGCAGAGUGUCUUCUACUUCUCAGGUGGCCUCACCUUGCUCUGGGCGUACUAUGUGUACAGGUACCUGCUGAAUGAGAAAGACCUUGUCCUGGCCCUGGGAUUCCUUGCUCAAGGCCUACCUGUGACCAAGCCCUCCAAAGUGCCCUGGAGACAACUAUUCCGGAAGGCCUCUGUCUGGGCGGCAAUCUGCUCCCAGUUGUGCUCUGCUUGCUCCUUCUUCAUUCUACUCUCCUGGCUGCCCACCUUCUUCAAGGAGACCUUCCCCAACUCCAAGGUUACAGAGUCAUCACGGUGCGUAAGUUCAUGCAGGUCAUGGGCCUUGGUCUGUCAAGCAUUUUUGCCCUGUGUCUGGGUCAUACCACAAGCUUCCUCAAGGCUAUGAUCUUUGCAUCAGCUUCCAUUGGCUUCCAGACCUUCAACCACAGUGGUAUUUCAGUCAACAUUCAGGACCUGGCCCCAUCCUGUGCUGGCUUCCUGUUUGGUGUAGCCAACACUGCAGGGGCCUUAGCAGGUGUGGUAGGCGUGUGUCUGAGUGGCUACCUGAUCGAGACCACUGGUUCCUGGACCUGUGUGUUCCACCUGGUAGCCAUCAUCAGCAACCUGGGGCUGGGCACCUUCCUGGUGUUCGGGAAGGCGCAGAGGGUGGACCUGGUCCCCACUCAUGAGGACCUCUAACUCCCUGACGAUCCAGUCACCCAGGACCUGAUGUCAGCAGCCUGAGGAUAACAACCCUGUCAGUGAAACGGAAUCUCCACCCCAGACGUAUGAGCAUACAGCAAGACCACAGUUUCCUGGGGAGGCCUGAGUACACACAGGCCUGUGUCAGGAGGAGGGUCAUGGCUCCAAAUCCGCUUGCCAGUCCCGCCCUCUCUCAGGUUCAGUGGGACUGCCACUGUUAAGGAAGCCACGUUGCUGAUGGGAGGUCUCACCGGCCACAGUGAGGGUUGUUUCCUGACAAGACUUUUGUGUUAAGGAUGUGUUGUGUGCUGGUAGAUGUUCAGGAGUGGCUCUGACCCCCAACCUACUCUGGGCACCUUCCUACCCCCAUCUCUCCAGCAACAAUAACCUAAGAUGUCUAUAGACAUUAGACCAUGUCUCCAUAAGACAGGCCCACUAGAAACACCGUUCAGAACCAUAGAGAAGCCAUGGUUUCUGCUUCUCUCCAGGAGUCAGGCUUGCCACUCCAGCUGGGCCGGUGUGCAGUGGGCCAGGGUCCUCACCUGCCUUGCAGACCCUGGUUCCCGCCCUGUGGAUCUCUCAGCACUACUGAUGUGUCCUGGGUUGGCAGGUGCCUGGCAGUCCAGACAUCACAGACCCCAGAACAAGGUGAAACCCCCCCCCCCCAUUUCUGGCCUUGUUUUUCUACCUCCCGCACUUAUUUCUUGUAGAGCUUGUGGUUUCAUGAGCUGAUAAUGAAUUCUCCAAGAUGCCUAUUAGAUUUUCUUUAUAGAUGUGGUGAGUCUUGCCAGAGCCUUAUUUAAGUGAAAACUAUUAAACUAUUUAAAGUAA